ACAGAAAUAAGUACAGCUGAAACUUGAAAGCCAAGUCAUAUGUCAUUUUGAGUCACAUCAAAGCGAGUUGGUGAGUAAUACUGGUUAUCAGUUGAAGGUACAAUCACGUCAAUGUUGAUGAUGCAUGCAACAGACACAUACUGCAAUACAGCAGAGUAAAUCAAGUUCCUUUUUUUAAAAGGAACAGGAAGAGAAGGGGAGGG
rnacentral:lncRNA from 1 species